rnacentral:rRNA from 1 species
UACAGAGGUCUCAAGCGUUGUUCGGAUUCAUUGGGCGUAAAGGGUGCGUAGGUGGCGCUGUAAGUCAGGUGUGAAAUUUCGGAGCUUAACUCCGAAACUGCAUUCGAUACUGGCGUGCUUGAGGACUGGAGAGGAGACUGGAAUUCAUGGUGUAGCAGUGAAAUGCGUAGAGAUCAUGAGGAAGACCAGUGGCGAAGGCGGGUCUCUGGACAGUUCCUGACACUGAGACACGAAGGCCAGGGGAGCAAACGGG